rnacentral:rRNA from 1 species
AUUGAACGCUGGCGGCAGGCCUAACACAUGCAAGUCGGGCGGUAACAGGGAGAAGCUUGCUUCUCUGCUGACGAGCGGCGGACGGGUGAGUAAUGUAUGGGGAUCUGCCUGAUGGAGGGGAUAACUACUGGAAACGGUAGCUAAUACCGCAUAAUGUCUCCGGACCAAAGCGGGGGACCUUCGGGCCUCGCACCAUCAGAUGAACCCAUAUGGGAUUAGCUUGUAGGUGAGGUAAUGGCUCACCUAGGCGACGAUCCCUAGCUGGUCUGAGAGGAUGAUCAGCCACACUGGGACUGAGACACGGCCCAGACUCCUACGGGAGGCAGCAGUGGGGAAUAUUGCACAAUGGGCGCAAGCCUGAUGCAGCCAUGCCGCGUGUAUGAAGAAGGCCUUUGGGUUGUAAAGUACUUUCAGUCGGGAGGAAGGUGUCAAGGUUAAUAACCUUGGC